UACAGAGGGUGCAAACGUUGUUCGGAAUCACUGGGCAUAAAGCGCACGUAGGCUGUCUCGUAAGUGUGGAGUGAAAUCCCACGGCUCAACCGUGGAACUGCUUGGCAUACUGCGAGACUCGAGGACGGUAGGGGAGAGCGGAACUCCUGGUGGAGCGGUGAAAUGCGUAGAUAUCCGGAGGAACACCGGUGGCGAAGGCGGCUUCCUGGACCGACACUGACGCUGAGGCGCGAAAGCUAGGGGAGCAAACGGG
rnacentral:rRNA from 1 species